rnacentral:rRNA from 1 species
CGCGCAGGCGGCCUCCCGCGUGGGUGGUGAAAGCUCCCGGCUUAACUGGGAGAGGUCCAUUCAGACGGGGAGGCUUGAGCGUCGGAGAGGGGCAUGGAAUUCCAAGUGGAGCGGUGAAAUGCGUAGAGAUCCGGAGGAACACCAAUGGCGAAGGCAGUGCCCUGGCCGACGGCUGACGCUCAGGCGCGAAAGCGUGGGAGCAAACA